rnacentral:rRNA from 1 species
GCUGGCGGCAGGCUUAACACAUGCAAGUCGAACGAAGUCUUCGGACUUAGUGGCAGACGGGUGAGUAACGCGUGGGAACCUACCUUUCGGUACGGAACAACAGUUGGAAACGACUGCUAAUACCGUAUGCGCCCUACGGGGGAAAGAUUUAUCGCCGAAAGAUGGGCCCGCGUUGGAUUAGCUAGUUGGUAGGGUAAUGGCCUACCAAGGCGACGAUCCAUAGCUGGUCUGAGAGGAUGAUCAGCCACACUGGGACUGAGACACGGCCCAGACUCCUACGGGAGGCAGCAGUGGGGAAUAUUGGACAAUGGGGGCAACCCUGAUCCAGCCAUGCCGCGUGAGUGAUGAAGGCCUUAGGGUUGUAAAGCUCUUUCAGCGAGGAGGAUAAUGACGUUACUCGCAGAAGAAGCCCCGGCUAACUUCGUGCCAGCAGCCGCGGUAAUACGAAGGGGGCUAGCGUUGUUCGGAAUCACUGGGCGUAAAGCGCACGUAGGCGGACUUUUAAGUCAGGGGUGAAAUCCCGGAGCUCAACUCCGGAACUGCCUUUGAUACCUGGAAGUCUUGAGUCCGAGAGAGGUGAGUGGAACUCCGAGUG